GUGUUGAUGGUUUAGAGAUAGAAUGCUCGCUUGCCACACGGACGACCUAGGUUCGACUCCCGGCCAAUGCA